rnacentral:lncRNA from 1 species
CUUACUUUCAGCAACAAUCCCAUAAUGACAAGGGAAUUGUAAGAAUUAGGGGGAAUAUUAAGCUGUCUAAAUACUUAAACCCAUACUUGAUAUUUCUAAGUAGGGUAUAAGAGUUUUUCUUGUAUUUUUUAAAUUUGCUUUUGCCUAAGUUAUUUUUAAGAGGCCUAUAUGUAGUAUUAUUUCUUUGGAUAAUGCUAAGUACAAACUGAAAUGCUAUGUGUCAUAUAUAAAUGUAACAACAGGAUUAAAUCACAGGACAAGGCCAAGCCUUACGUUAGAAAGAAUCAUCAUGAAAAUCCACUGGUUUUAGUUAAGAGUGUGUAUACACUGCAGUUUUAUGUCAAUAAAUAUAUUUCUAAUUA